AUGCCCGACCCAACUAUCCCAGGGCAGAAGGACGCAAAAAGCCCAAUGUUACAGGGGCUUGGGAUGCCUCACCAGGAUGAGGCGGUAGCACUUGGCAGUUAUUCGCUGGAGAAGCCGCUAGAGAAGUCACAUCCAGUCGAGAUGAGCUGCACCGAAGGUGGUUCGGAGGGCUUACGAAGGCAAGGCGGAGAUGGAGGUGAAAAAGAUGGAGUUCGUAAGGAGACAGAGACAAAGGCGAGAGAGAAGGUUUGA